rnacentral:snRNA from 1 species
AUACUUACCUGGCACAGGAGAUACCGUGAUCACGAAGGCGGUUCUCCCAGGGCGAGGCUCACCAUUGCACUCCGGUGGCGCUGACCCCUGCGAUUAACCCAAAUGUGGUUAACUCGAGUGCGCAAUUUUUGUUAGUGGGGACUGCGUUCGCGCUAUCCCCC